UACGUAGGGUGCGAGCGUUGUCCGGAAUUACUGGGCGUAAAGAGCUCGUAGGUGGUUUGUCGCGUUGUCCGUGAAAACUCACAACUCAAUUGUGGGCGUGCGGGCGAUACGGGCAGACUGGAGUACUGCAGGGGAGACUGGAAUUCCUGGUGUAGCGGUGAAAUGCGUAGAUAUCUGGAGGAAUACCGGUGGCGAAGGCGGCAUCCUGGACCGGCAUUGACGCUGAGGAGCGAAAGCCAGGGGAGCAAAGCGGG
rnacentral:rRNA from 1 species